rnacentral:lncRNA from 1 species
GUUGUGGCGGUUUCAUUCGUUGAUUCUGUAGGUUGUUGUUCUGGUGGUGUUGAUGAGGAAUUUUGUGCUUUAAUGGCGGCUAGAUGAUGCUGGGAUUUGCGGCUGUAAGUGAUGAAGAUUGGUUCUGUAGGUUGUUCUGGUUUGUUUUUGUUUAAUGGAGGUGACAGUAGCUCUAUGAAUUCCGAUAAGCCAUUGUUGUUAGCGUAGGGUUAAUAGAUUUGGGGGGAGAGGGAAUGUGAA